CGUUCCUCACGGCAUGUUCAGAGGCCGUCCCCACGCACGAAUGAAUCGGUUUCUCCGCAUAGCCGCCGCACAUCCCGCUCGUAGACGGGUAGCUUGGUGCGCCGUUUAGAUCAUCCCCACGCGGCGACCCCGAUCCAAAAGAGAAGCGGCAGUCCGCGACCUUGUUGUCACUCCUCCGCCAAGGUUCCGGCCGGUCGUGGCGCAUCCAAUCCGCGUGCCGGCCGGCCCUGUACGCCAUCAUCGGGAACUUCGUCGCCAAGGCGUGGAACGGCUCCGGCCUCUUCCCUGACCCCUGCGGCCAGACCGCCAUCCAGGAAUUAAUCAAUCCCCAGUUCAGUUCCUGCUCUACAUUUUCAUGUUUUGGGAUUCAGUAUAAAUCGUUGCUCACAAGGAUUGCUUGCACGUCUAAUUAAUGGAACUGCUGCUCUACACCAUACGUCGGAUACCCUACUGCCUUAGUCAGCGCCGCCGGCGACCUUCCCGCACACUAAAGGUAGGUGCAUACAUGUUGUGUAGGAGAUGAUGGCAGCAAACUUUCAGCUACAAGGGGUUUCGUGGAUGAUGGAAACAGUCCCGAUUGUGUGGGCAUAUGCAUAUGGUUCGUGUACAUAACAGUCUGAACUGGCCUUGCCAUCGAUCUAAUCUACAACUUUUGUAUCAUGCGCUGUUAGUGCAGGGCCUUGUUUCAACGGCGGCAUUUUGAGGUCAUGUACAUAUGAAGAUUGGAAAUAGUGUUGGUGAUGUGGAAACUGAUCUGAAUGGGAUGUAUUUGGGAUCAUACCAGGUUUCCCUGCUACUAUCUCUACAGAGAUGGGCGAGUGACGCCGCAGUUUCUUGUUCUUGCAGAUGCAUUAUUGGAUCAUUUCUUCUGACUAUAGCAAAUGCCUAAUCUUACGGUUAUAUGAGCAGCAUUGUUCUGAUGAACUAGGCCGUGUGGUUUUCCAUCCAUGUAGCUUGAUUGUAUUCUUCAAAUGUGGCAGAGUAACGAGUUGGCAUUUUUUUGUGGGUUUGUGUGUGUGUAUUGGGGGUUGUAUUGCUCGCCUUGUGGUUUACAGAAAUUUAGACGGGCGCAUGACCUUGUUGGGCGUUGUAUUGCUGGGGCUCCUGAAGAUUCAUAAAGUUGGGGUUGCUA